GGUUUGAAAGUUGUCUCUAAGAUGGCAACAGGCUCUUGGAAGCAAACAAAUCAGCUCAAUUGGAGAAAGAAGUCUUAUGCUCAAACAUGACAGGAAUAAAAUACUGAGAAGGAACUUCAUAGCUGUGGGUACAAGUGGGACCAUUUCCCCACCAGCCCAACGCACUGCUCAAGGAACCACGGAAAGCCUGACCCCGGUACAAGGGCACAUGGAAAAGCCGGCAAAGCAGCCUGCCAUCAGCAGAGUACAGGAAGCGGUCUGUGCUGUGGCCACACCGCCCAUGAGUUACACAAUGCGAUAGGAUGGGGGAAGAAGUGGUUUUCUUCCUCUUCCAAAUUAAAAUAGCCCUUCCUUAACGAA